rnacentral:rRNA from 1 species
UACAGAGGGUGCGAGCGUUAAUCGGAAUUACUGGGCGUAAAGGGUGCGUAGGCGGUUAGAUAAGUCGGAUGUGAAAUCCCUGGGCUUAACCUGGGAACUGCAUUUGAUACUGUUUAGCUAGAGUAUGGUAGAGGAAAGCGGAAUUUCCGGUGUAGCGGUGAAAUGCGUAGAUAUCGGAAGGAACACCAGUGGCGAAGGCGGCUUUCUGGACUAAUACUGACGCUGAGGCACGAAAGCAUGGGGAGCAAACAGG